ACGCUCGACACCUACGGGAUGCAGCAGUGGGGAAUAUUGCACAAUGGGGGAAACCCUGAUGCAGCGACGCCGCGUGAGCGAAGAAGUAUUUCGGUAUGUAAAGCUCUAUCAGCAGGGAAGAAAAUGACGGUACCUGACUAAGAAGCCCCGGCUAACUACGUGCCAGCAGCCGCGGUAAUCUGAGCGGGCUGGCAAGGC
rnacentral:rRNA from 1 species